rnacentral:rRNA from 16 species
UAUGCCGUUGGGGGUAGAGCACUGGAUGGGCUAGGGGGUCGCGAGAUCUACCAAACCUAACCAAACUCCGAAUACGCAAGAGUACUGCACGGGAGACACACGGCGGGUGCUAACGUCCGUCGUGAAAAGGGAAACAACCCAGACCGUCAGCUAAGGUCCCAAAGUCAUGGUUAAGUGGGAAACGAUGUGGGAAGGCAUAGACAGCUAGGAGGUUGGCU